rnacentral:snoRNA from 1 species
AUUCCAUGAUGGGGACAUUCUAGGAUGUAGUCUUGGAAGCGCUCCCAUGCUUCUGGAACGGAUUCAUCAUGUUGUUGCUGAAAACAUGGAAUUUUCCCACAGAGAGC